rnacentral:rRNA from 1 species
AUUGAACGCUAGCCGGGAUGCCUUACACAUGCAAGUCGAACGGCAGCGCGGACUUCGGUCUGGCGGCGAGUGGCGAACGGGUGAGUAAUAUAUCGGAACGUGCCUAGUAGCGGGGGAUAACUACUCGAAAGAGUAGCUAAUACCGCAUACGCCCUACGGGGGAAAGGGGGGGAUCGCAAGACCUCUCACUAUUAGAGCGGCCGAUAUCGGAUUAGCUAGUUGGUGGGGUAAAGGCCCACCAAGGCUACGAUCCGUAGCUGGUUUGAGAGGACGACCAGCCACACUGGGACUGAGACACGGCCCAGACUCCUACGGGAGGCAGCAGUGGGGAAUUUUGGACAAUGGGGGAAACCCUGAUCCAGCCAUUCCGCGUGUGCGAUGAAGGCCUUCGGGUUGUAAAGCACUUUUGGCAGGAAAGAAAUCGCACAACUUAAUACGUUGUGUGGAUGACGGUACCUGCAGAAUAAGCACCGGCUAAC